UGGGGAAUCUUGCACAAUGGGGGAAACCCUGAUGCAGCGACGCCGCGUGAACGAUGAAGCCCUUCGGGGUGUAAAGUUCUUUCGACAGGAACGAUAAUGACGGUACCUGGAGAAGAAGCUGCGGCUAACUACGUGCCAGCAGCCGCGGUAAUACGUAGGCAGCGAGCGUUGUUCGGAGUUACUGGGCGUAAAGAGUGCGUAGGCGGUUUUCUAAGUUCGGUGUGAAAUCUCCCGGCUUAACUGGGAGGGUGCGCCGAAGACUGGGAAGCUGGAGUGUGGGAAAGGCAGGCGGAAUUCCUGGUGUAGCGGUGAAAUGCGUAGAUAUCAGGAGGAACACCGGCGGUGUAGACGGCUUGCUAGACCAUAACUGACGCUGAGGCACGAAAGCGUGGGUAGCAAACA
rnacentral:rRNA from 1 species